GUUAGCAUGAGCAUCCAUGUCUAGAAAUAGAUUUUGCACUGCAUAUGAGGGCUUCAUGGUCAUGAAAUCAUCUCUCAAGUUUCUGAAGCCACGUCUUAUUUGUUAAUAAGUUUGCUGCAUGUGAAUGAUAUGGUGUCCAGGGUAAGUAGUAUACAUCAAUGGGCAAAGAAAAAAACAAGUCAAAAUCAAAGAGAAAUUGAAAGAUAAAAAAUGCACAGAAAACUUGUAAAGUAAUACUUAGCAUUAUUUUGGUGAACUUAAUUCUUAUAAUUUCAGGGCAAUGGAAACUACAGCUGAUAUAGCUCAAGUACUCAAGGGCUCAGAGAAUUUGAAAGUGUUGUCCAUCAUCCAUUUAUGGUAUAGUCUCAUCUCUGGAUUGACUUCUAAAAUAACCUUCACAUUGUCUCUAAAUCUUGGUACAUUGUCUACAAUGAAGAAAAAAUAUCAACAUUGGAAUGAGUUUGAGCUAAAAUGUGGAAUGCACCUCAGGUCCACAGCACUGCAUUGUAGCCACCGGAACUAGGACAAAUGCAAACACAAGCGACACCAAGAGCGGAGUGCAUCUGGGGAUACCGGGAGGUUUCGAAUCAAGGAGUUAAAAGGGUUCCUUCAUGAUGAUAAGGGAUCAAUCAUCAGAAAGGAUCUAACAGCUCUAAGUGCUCAUGCGCUGAAAAUAGAAGUUCUAAACAAAAAGUUAAACCUGAUAAUAUUACAAGCAGAAAUGUAGGAAUCCACUAACAUCGCUAUCAAUUAAGCAGCCCCUCAGUAAUGAACAGCAUAGAUACACAACGUGGAGAGUAAACACUUUCACAAUCCCAUCAACUACUUGGUUUAUUUACUGGGUUAGAAGCUCUGUCUAAAAACAGUAGAACGUAGACUUGCUUCACGUGAACUGGAACUGACACUAUGGGAGGCCACGGUCUGGGCCAAAAAGUAAAACUCAGAGCAGGUGAAGCGAGGCAAAUCACGCAGAGGAAGCUGGCUCACCCCACUGGGAUUCCGAGAGACACCGGCAACAGAGAGUCUUGGAAUUGCCAAACACCUGGAAACCAGGUAAUGUAUUUGACCUAAAUAAUCCCUAGACCAAAACAAAUGAAAAAGACAUGGUAAGUUCUGUGAAACUAAAAAAAUGAAAAAGUAUGUUAAAAUUUGUGAAAUGCAGCUGAAGCAGUGCUUGAUGGAAAGUGUACGGCACUGUUUGUAUUUCAAAAAGGAAGAGAGGUUUCAAGUUAAUUUGCUUAUAUUUUGCUACAGAAAGUGUUUUAAAUGAGAGCAUAUUAAACCCAAAUGAAACUGAAGAAGAAAAAAAACAGUAGAAGCCAGAAUAUGAAUGAGUAACAUAGAAAAUAGAUGAGAAAAACCAAUAGUACCAGAAAUUGUUUCUUUGAAAACAUCAAAAAAGUUGGUAAGAUGUUCAGGGACCAUUUUCAUCUCCAGAAUUAAGGGUUAUUUUAAUGUUGCUUCAUUGCCUUUUCUCUUUUACUUUCCUUUUUAGUUUUAUUUUAGGAUUCCCUAUUUUUAAUGUUCAUACAUAGAUUUCUUUAACUGAAAUACUGAAUAGUUUCUCUGGUGUGAAAAACUAUAAUAGUACACAGGAUCCUAAUGACAUAAUUAAUAAUGUGAAAUAAGAAGUAAAGGGCUAAAGGUGUAGGGAAAGUGGGAAAGGUGGGGGAAAGGUAAUAAGGGAGAGGAAAAAAAUAUGAGAAACUGAAAAAAUGGAAAUAAAGUGUGUGUGUAAAUGGGGAGGGGAGGAGGAGGUGAAGGGAGGGCAGGGACAAGGCGAAAAAUGAGAAUCAAGACCUGUCAUGUAAAGGUACAGAAUCCCAAUGAUGAAUGUAACUGUAUUGUAUACCUAGAUUGUACCAAUACACUCAAUAAAAAGAAAAAAAAGUUGAUAAGGCUUUAUUUAGAUCCAUCAUGAGGAAGGAAGUGAAGAUGUACAUCAC
ensembl:lincRNA